UAAAAACAAAUUAGUUAUGAAUACCUAUCACAUGUUAAGACCGAUCACAUAUGAAAGAGAGGAGAGCCAUUAGUUUUGUUGGAGUGUUCUCUUAGUGUUCUUGAUUCUUGAAAAUACCUAUCACUUUGUAUUGAUAAAUUCAGUUCUUGAGAACACCAAGCCUGAGACGAAAAACUUCUUCCAUAAAGAGGAAGCCCUUCACGUAGCUUCACCUUUGGUUCCCAACCAAGAACUUCUUUAGCUUUGCCUCGGAUCAUCUGGUAUGUUCUCCACAAUCUUUAUCUCCACGUCCGGUUUAAUAAGCUGCACCAAUUCUCAAUACUUAUUUGUUAACUAUAAUCACGUUCACAAGAAAUUAACAACAACAAAAAAACUAUAAUCACGCUCAUGUGAAAUGAAAUAAAAAAUGACACUGCUAACCGCUUUAACCGUUUCAGCGAGCUCAACAAUUGAGAAUUCACCUGGAUUGCCUAUGUUGAUCGGUCCGGAUUUGUCUCCUGCCAUCAGACGCUUUAGACCUUCCAUCUACAGAACCAAAGUUGGACUAUGUAUCAUUUUAUAAUAUACA
rnacentral:lncRNA from 1 species